rnacentral:rRNA from 1 species
UACGUAGGGUGCAAGCGUUAAUCGGAAUUACUGGGCGUAAAGCGUGCGCAGGCGGUUAUGCAAGACAGAUGUGAAAUCCCCGGGCUUAACCUGGGAACCGCAUUUGUGACUGCAUAGCUGGAGUACGGCAGAGGGGGAUGGAAUUCCGCGUGUAGCAGUGAAAUGCGUAGAUAUGCGGAGGAACACCGAUGGCGAAGGCAAUCCCCUGGGCCUGUACUGACGCUCAUGCACGAAAGCGUGGGGAGCAAACAGG